ACGAUAAGCCAAAAAAAGAAAAAAAAAGUGAUGAAAAAAUUCCAGCAUCCGAAGAGGUCUUGCAAUCAUCAGAACAGGUGGAAUGGCUCAAAUAUCAUAAAUUUUUUCUAUUUGAGCACAUUCGAACAACAAUUUAGCUGGGAAACAUCAGAGUUUCGGUCCAGCAGCUUUUAAGAUGCUACGGCCAAAUCUACCCUCUCCGGAAUCGGAACAACCUGAAUAGAUAGUCAUGGACGUAAACCCGGAACCUGAAUCCCUUGUCCUGUUAGGAAAUUUAGACAUCCAUCCGGAUAAGGCGUCAGGAACCUAGGAAAGAACAUCAGCGGGCGGGAGGACAUUAUUCCGGCAAAGGCGAAGCUUACCAUCGUCCUACUCAUUGUAAUGGAAAACUAGCUGUCGGAGAUGGUGGUGUACUGCAGCAGUACUCGGAAGCGGAGGGGUUUAUGGAAGCGAGUAGGGCCCUUUAUCCUGCUUCCAGGAAGCACAGCAUGCCUUUUUCGACCUGAUCAACGGAAUCUGUUCCAAAUUCCAGCUGGAGUGGAAUUGAUUUAUGUUCCAAUUGUGUUUUAAAAGGGAAAUUUCAUUAUGGUACUUUGAAUAAAGAAAAUAAUGAAUA